rnacentral:rRNA from 1 species
AGCGAACGCUGGCGGCAGGCCUAACACAUGCAAGUCGAGCGCCGUAGCAAUACGGAGCGGCAGACGGGUGAGUAACGCGUGGGAACAUACCCUUCGGUUCGGAAUAACUCAGGGGAACUUGAGCUAAUACCGAAUACGUCCGUGAGGAGAAAGAUUUAUCGCCGAAGGAUUGGCCCGCGUAAGAUUAGCUAGUUGGUGAGGUAACGGCUCACCAAGGCUAUGAUCUUUAGCGUUCUGAGAGGAAGAUCAGCCACACUGGGACUGAGACACGGCCCAGACUCCUACGGGAGGCAGCAGUGGGGAAUAUUGGACAAUGGGCGCAAGCCUGAUCCAGCCAUGCCGCGUGAGUGAUGAAGGCCUUAGGGUUGUAAAGCUCUUUUACCAGGGAAGAUAAUGACUGUACCUGGAGAAUAAGCCCCGGCUAACUUCGUGCCAGCCGCCGCAGUAAG